rnacentral:rRNA from 1 species
UACGUAGGGAGCAAGCGUUGUCCGGAAUCAUUGGGCGUAAAGCGCGCGUAGGUGGUCCGGUAAGUCCGCUCUGAAAGUCAAAGGCUCAACCUUUGAAAGCGGGUGGAUACUGCCAGGCUAGAGUCCGGAAGAGGCGAGUGGAAUUCCUGGUGUAGCGGUGGAAUGCGCAGAUAUCAGGAGGAACACCAACGGCGAAGGCAGCUCGCUGGGACGGUACUGACACUGAGGCGCGAAAGCGUGGGGAGCGAACAGG